rnacentral:rRNA from 1 species
UACGUAGGGUGCGAGCGUUAAUCGGAAUUACUGGGCGUAAAGCGUGCGCAGACGGUUUUGUAAGCCAGAUGUGAAAUCCCCGAGCUUAACUUGGGAACUGCAUUUGGGACUGCAAGGCUAGAGUACGGCAGAGGGGGGUAGAAUUCCUGGUGUAGCAGUGAAAUGCGUAGAUAUCAGGAGGAAUACCGAUGGCGAAGGCAGCCCCCUGGGUCGAUACUGACGCUCAUGCACGAAAGCGUGGGGAGCAAACAGG